CUCCUCCUAAGGCUUUCGUUCCACCGGCACCACAUUUGCUCAGGCCAAUCUACACCCCAUGGCCAUUAAAAGUUAUUCAAAUCAUGACGCUGCACCCCACGGUUUAGGUUCUAGGGGGCGCCAAAGAUAACCCUAAAAUCCACAUAUUUAAAAGUCUUAUAACUUUUUAUUUUUGUCCUCACUGGCCUCCAAGUUUUCUAGGAUGAUGCAAUGUCCAGCCAUCAACACAUUUGUGAAGGAAUUUUUACUCCCCAAAAGAGCGCCCCCCAUGGCAGGAGAAAAAAGUCCAUUUUUUCUUGUCCCCUAAGGUGAAAAUACAUAUUGUUGAGAUUCACGCCUAUACGCUUUGUCAUAUUGACACAAAAUUUGACAAUCACGUGCCUUGCCUGGUAUCAUUUUUUUCCGCACAACCUCACCUGUGCGAAUUUACAGUUAUUUUAUCAUGUUGACAUACUGAAUUUACACAAUGGACCCAAAUUCACACACAAAACAUAAAAUCCGAGUGGAAAAAAGUAACAUUUUUACUGUGAAAACCACAAAUAUGUGUGAUGAACUGUUUUUAAAACUUAAACUUCAAAUAAAAAUUGUAAACUUCAAAACAUAUGCAAAUUUUUAACAAAGAACAUAGUGAUUUACCUCUAUUUACAUCAAAAUGCAGGCAAUGGCCCAGGCGUUCUUUGUAAAAUUAUUUACAAAACACUGUAUAGUCUCACAAAUGUCACUUUUUAUUUAUGCCACUACAAAAAAACAUGAUGUAAAUGAUGCAUGAUGUAAAACAUGAUGUAAAAAACUUGUGUAGAUCCUCCUCUAUGUCAGUCCAUGUGUAAUUUUUCCAUAAUUCUUUGUUUUUUGCAGCAUUUUUGUUAGUGUAACUGCAGAUUGUGCUGACAGUGUCUAUGGCACAAAAAAAAAAAAAAAUUAAAAUGCCUCAACAUGAACCCCUGGUGGUCUCUGAGGGUGAAACCUGCUAACUGCUGCAGCUCUGUCAGCUUCAGUCUCCCAUGCAGAGCUCUGAGCGCAUGUGUGGCUCUGCACCCUUAGCAGCGUUGCUAACUCCUCAGUAAGGAAAGCCUGCUUCAUGUCAGAGUCUCUAAACUCCAGAAGAAGUCGAUAAAAGUCCCUUUCUUUCUAAAAAAAAGUCGUUAGGGGGUCUGAAAAGUCAUUGAAUCUAACAACAAAGUCGCUAGGUUUGCAACUACGUGUCCCAGACUGCAUCCCUGCUGAGAGUCCCUCCCUCGCUUCUCAUGUUGCAGGAAGAACGUAAGCGCCCGCCCCUUGUCAAUCAGUCACCAUAUAAUUUUGGAUUGGUUGUUGUGGUGAAGUUUUCCACCAAUAGGAGAGAUGUUGUGGUGUGUUUUUUUUUUCUUUUGGCAAGCCUUUUCCGCCUGUAAGACCUGUCGCUAAUGUCUGCAUGCUAUGUUUUCCUGUCUCAUACAGCGCGAUCGAGCGCCGAACGUGAUCAAAAUAAGCAGAAAAAAAGUAUCGCGGACAUAAUUUAUCAUAACUCUGGUUUUAUUUGGCCUAUCAACACAAUUUAAAAACUGGUAUAUAGGUUGAGGUCCUCACUUUUGAGAUAAGUUGAAACGGAGAGUCAACGAGGCUCUGUCUUGCAGCUACAUCCGGUUAAAUAUGUCAUGUGACUUGAACGCACACACAGACACACACACACGCACACACACACACACACACACACACUCAGAGUCUGGUUUUUAGCACCUGCAAAAACAUGCUAUUUACAUAUUUGACAAGAAUGCAGAGGCUCCUUUUGCCCCUGAAAAAAAUCAAAUUUCAAACACAACUUGACUGGUCAUUUCUCCAAAAGACAACCAUGAAGCUCCAUCCAAACCUGAAGCAGGCAGUUGGUGCAUGUGUACAGUAACCUGAGGGGAGUGAGGUGAGUGCUUCUGAGGAGAACAUGAGCAGUGAAGAUUCACCUUGGAGCUAGAACAGAGACAUGCACAUGAUUAUACAGGGGCAGGGGCUCAAGUUUUUUCCAGUCGUUUAUACAAUAUGGAAAUUAAUGUGAAAUUAAAACACAAAGUAUUAAUAGAAAGGUAAUGACUGUCCUGUGUAGGUGACAGUGAUAUCCAAUAGGCUAGGCACUCACGAGGCUGGCUGUGGCAAGUGUAAGUGAAAGCAACACGCACUGGCAGGAAGAACAGCAAACGCCGAUGAAGGAAAAGGGUCUUUGCAGUGAUGGGCGUUACCAGAGAGGGCGAUGGCCAGAGGACACAAAUGGGACGGGGAGGCAGCACGUUGGGGGGGGACGCGACACGGCUCGGGCCCGCCAGUGCCCCAACGGGGUCCUAGUUUCUUUUUCCUCCCCUUUGAACUGGAAAAUGGCCCACUUCCCACUGGCGAAAACUCAUGAAAUUUGGCAGGACGACCGGGCCUGGUGAAAAAUUUGAUAUUCCGAAGUCGCCCAAACAAGAAAAUGCAAAAUGGCUCCAUAGCGCCCCCUAAGGUGAAAAUUCACACUAUUGAGUGUCACACCUGUACGCUUUGUCAAAAUGACACAAAAUUUGACACACACAUGUAUCUCAAUAAGAUCUACAAAAAAGUCAGUGCGGGCGUAUCUGUCAAAUGUACGGUUAAAGGGUUAUUUCGCAUUUUUUGCCGAUCCGCACACAUUGGAAUUUCGCUAACUCCUUUGAAGGCUUUCGUUCCACCGGCACCACAUUUGCUCAGGCCAAUCUACACCCCAUGGCCAUUAAAAGUUAUUCAAAUCAUGACGCUGCACCCCACGGUUUAGGUUCUAGGGGGCGCCAAAGAUAACCCUAAAAUCCACAUAUUUAAAAGUCUUAUAACUUUUUAUUUUUGCCCUCACUGGCCUCCAAGUUUUCUAGGAUGAUGCAAUGUCCAGCCAUCAACACAUUUGUGAAGGAAUUUUUACUCCCCAAAAGAGCGCCCCCCAUGGCAGGAGAAAAAAGUCCAUUUUUUCUUGUCCCCUAAGGUGAAAAUACACAUUGUUGAGUGUCACGCCUGUACGCUUUGUCAAAAUGACACAAAAAUUGACACACACAUGUAUCUCAAUAAGAUCUACAAAAAAGUCCAUGCGCGCGUAUCUGUCAAAUGUACGGUUAAAGGGUUAUUCCGCAUUUUUUGCCGAUUCGCACACAUUGGAAUUUCGCUAACUCCUCCGAAGGCUUUCGUUCCACCGGCACCACAUUUGCUCAGGCCAAUCUACACCCCAUGGCCAUUAAAAGUUAUUCAAAUCAUGACGCUGCACCCCACGGUUUACGUUCUAGGGGGCGCCAAAGAUAACCCAAAAAUCCACAUUUUUAAAAGUCUUAUAACUUUUUAUUUUUGUCCUCACUGGCCUCCAAGUUUUCUAGGAUGAUGCAAUGUCCAGCCAUCAACACAUUUGUGAAGGAAUUUUUACUCCCUAAAAGAGCGCCCCCCCAUGGCAGGAGAAAAAAGUCCAUUUUUUCUUGUCCCCUAAGGUGAAAAUACACAUUGUUGACUGUCACGCCUGUACGCUUUGGCAAAAUGACACAAAAAUUGACAAUCAUGUGUAUCUCAAUUAGAUCUACGAAAAAGUCAAAGAGCGCGUAUCUGUAUAAUGUACGGUAAAAGGGCUAUUUUGCAUUUUUUGCCGAUUCGCACACAUUGGAAUUUCGCUAACUCCUCCUAAGGCUUUCGUCCCACUGACACCAAAUUUGCUCAGGCCAAUCUACACUCCAUGGCCAUUCAAAGUUGUAAAAAUCAUGACGCUGCACCCCACGGUUUACGUUUUAGGGGGCGCCAAAGAUGACCCAAAUAUACAUUACAGUAGACAAAGUAGUUUUGCCCACUGAGUGGCGCCAAAGGGACUUGUCUGUGGAGUCUGUGAGUCACUAUUGGCCGUUUUUGACUACUUUAGAUUUUACCUUUAUAUUUCCUCUUACAAAAUUUUUACCUUGCCUUGCCUGGUAUCAUUUUUUUCAGCACAACCUCACCUGUGUCAAUUUACAGUUAUUUUAUCAUUUUGACAUACUAUAUUUACACAUUGGACCCAAAUUCACACACAAAACAUAAAAUCCGAGUGGAAAAAAGUAACGUUUUUACUGUGAAAACCACAAAUAUGUGUGAUGAACGGUUUUUAAAACUUAAACUUCAAAUAAAAAUUGUAAACUUCAAAACAUAUGCAAAUUUUUAACAAAGAACAUAGUAAUUUACCUCUAUUUACAUCAAAAUGCAGGCAAUGGCCCAGGUGUUCUUUGUAAAAUUAUUUACAAAACACUGUAUAGUCUCACAAAUGUCACUUUUUAUUUAUGCCACUACAAAAAAACAUGAUGUAAAUGAUGCAUGAUGUAAAACAUGAUGUAAAAAACUUGUGUAGAUCCUCCUCUAUGUUAGUCCGUGUGUAAUUUUUCCAUAAUUCUUUGUUUUUUGCAGCAUUUUUGUUAGUGUAACUGCAGAUUGUGCUGACAGUGUCUAUGGCAAAAAAAAAAAAAAAAACUGAAAAUGCCUCAACAUGAACCCCUGGUGGUCUCUGAGGGUGAAACCUGCUAACUGCUGCAGCUCUGUCAGCUUCAGUCUCCCAUGCAGAGCUCGGAGCGCAUGUGUGGCUCUGCACCCUUAGCAGCGUUGCUAACUCCUCAGUAAGGAAAGCCUGCUUCAUGUCAGAGUCUCUAAACUCCAGAAGAAGUCGAUAAAAGUCACUUUCUUUCUAAAAAAGUCGUUAGGGGGUCUGAAAAGUCAUUGAAUCUAACAACAAAGUCGCUAGGUUUGCAACUACGUGUCCCAGACUGCAUCCCUGCUGAGAGUCCCUCCCUCCCUUCUCAUAUUGCAGGAAGAACGUAAGCGCCCGCCCCUUGUCAAUCAGUCACCAUAUAAUUUUGGAUUGGUUGUUGUGGUGAAGUUUUCCACCAAUAGGAGAGAUGUUGUGGUGUGUUUUUUUUUUUCCUUUGGCAAGCCUUUUCCGCCUGUAAGACCUGUCGCUAAUGUCUGCAUGCUAUGUUUUCCUGUCUCAUACAGCGCGAUCGAGCGCCGAACGUGAUCAAAAUAAGCAGAAAACAAGUAUCGUGGACAUAAUUUAUCAUAACUCUGGUUUUAUUUGGCCUAUCAACACAAUUUAAAAACUGGUAUAUAGGUUGAGGUCCUCACUUUUGAGAUAAAUUGAAACGGAGAGUCAACGAGGCUCCGUCUUGCAGCUACAUCCGGUUAAAUAUGUCAUGUGACUUGAACGCACACACACACACACACACACACACACACACACAAACACACGCACACACACACACUCAGAGUCUGGUUUUUAGCACCUGCAAAAACAUGCUAUUUACAUAUUUGACAAGAAUGCAGAGGCUCCUUUUGCCCCUGAAAAAAAUCAAAUUUCAAACACAACUUGACUGGUCAUUUCUCCAAAAGACAACCAUGAAGCUCCAUCCAAACCUGAAGCAGGCAGUUGGUGCAUGUGUACAGUAACCUGAGGGGAGUGAGGUGACUGCUUCUGAGGAGAACAUGAGCAGUGAAGAUUCACCUUAGAGCUAGAACAGAGACGUGCACAUGAUUAUACAGGGGCAGGGGCUCAAGUUUUUUCCAGUUGUUUAUACAAUAUGGAAAUUAAUGUGAAAUUAAAAAACAAAGUAUUAAUAGAAAGGUAAUGACUGUCCUGUGUAGGUGACAGUGAUAUCCAAUAGGCUAGGCACUCACGAGGCUGGCUGUGGCAAGUGUAAGUGAAAGCAACACGCACUGGCAGGAAGAACAGCAAACGCCGAUGAAGGAAAAGGGUCUUUGCAGUGAUGGGCGUUACCAGAGAGGGCGAUGGCCAGAGGACACAAAUGGGACGGGGAGGCAGCGCGUUGGGGGGGGGGACGCGACAGAGCUCGGGCCCGCCAGUGCCCCAACGGGGUCCUAGUUCUUCUUUUUCCUCCCCUUUGAACUGGAAAAUGGCCCACUUCCCACUGGCGAAAACUCAUGAAAUUUGGCAGGACGACCGGGCCUGGUGAAAAAUUCGAUAUUCUGAAGUCGCCCAAACAAUAAAAUGCAAAAUGGCUCCAUAGCGCCCCCUAAGGUGGAAAUUCACACUAUUGACUGUCACGCCUGUACGCUUUGUCAUAUUGACACAAAAAUUGACACACAUAUGUAUCUCAAUAAGAUCUACAAAAAAGUCAGUGCAGCCGUAUCUGUCAAAAUUACGGUUAAAGGGUUAUUUCGCAUUUUUUUCCGAUCCGCACACAUUGGAAUUUCGCUAACUCCUCCGAAGGCUUUCGUUCCACCGGCACCACAUUUGCUCAGGCCAAUCUACACCCCGUGGCCAUUAAAAGUUAUCAAAAUCAUGACGCUGCACCCCAAGGUUUAGGUUCUAGGGGGCGCCAAAGAUAACACUAAAAUCCACAUAUUUAAAAGUCUUAUAACUUUUUAUUUUUGUCCUCACUGGGCUCCAAGUUUUCUAGGAUGAUGCAAUGUCCAGCCAUCAACACAUUUGUGAAGGAAUUUUUACUCCCCAAAAGAGCGCCCCCCCAUGGCAGGAGAAAAAAGUCCAUUUUUUCUUGUCCCCUAAGGUGAAAAUACACAUUGUUGAGUGUCACGCCUAUAUGCUUUGUCAAAAUGACACAAAAAUUGACACACACAUGUAACUCAAUAAGAUCUACAAAAAAGUCCAUGCGCGCGUAUCUGUCAAAUGUACAGUUAAAGGGUUAUUCCGCAUUUUUUGCCGAUACGCACACAUUGGAAUUUCGCUAACUCCUCCGAAGGCUUUCGUUCCACCGGCACCACAUUUGCUCAGGCCAAUCUACACCCCAUGGCCAUUAAAAGUUAUUCAAAUCAUGAUGCUGCACCCCAUGGUUUAGGUUCUAGGGGGCGCCAAAAAUAACCCAAAAAUCCACAUUCUUAAAUGUUUUAUAACUUUUUAUUUUUGUCCUCACUGGCCUCCAAGUUUUCUAGGAUGAUGCAAUGUCCAGCCAUCAACACAUUUGUGAAGGAAUUUUUACUCCCCAAAAGAGCGCCCCCCCAUGGUAGGAGAAAAAAGUCAAUUUUUUCUUGUCCCCUUACAUAAAAAUACACAUUGUUGAGUGUCACGCCUGAACGCUUUGUCAUAUUGACACAAAAAUUGACAAUCAUGUGUAUCUCAAUUAGAUCUACGAAAAAGUCAAAGAGCGCGUAUCUGUAUAAUGUACGGUUAAAGGGCUAUUUUGCAUUUUUUGCCGAUUCGCACACAUUGGAAUGUGGCUAUCUCCUCCUAAGGCUUUCGUCCCACCGAUACCAAAUUUGCUCAGGGCAAUCUACACCCCAUGACCAUUCAAAGUUGUAAAAAUCAUGACGCUGCACCCCACGGUUUACGUUCUAGGGGGCGCCAAAGAUGACCCAAAAAUCCACAUUCUUAAAAGUCAUUUUGGCCACUGCAGGAGUACAGAGUACUGCAGUUCUAGGGGGCGCCAAAGAUGACCCAAAAAUCCACAUUCUUAAAAGUCUUUUUGGCCACUGCAGGAGUACAGAGUACUGCAGGAUACACACACAUAUACACACACGCCAACAUACACACACACACACACACACACACACACACACACACACACACACACACACACACACACACACACACAGACACACACACACACUCAGAGUCUGUUUUUUAGCACCUGCAAAAACAUGCUGUUUACAUAUUUGACAAGAAUGCAGAGGCUUCCUUUUGCCCCUGAAAAAAAUCAAAUUUCAAACACAACUUGACUGUUCAUUUCUCCAAAAGACAACCAUGAAGCUCCAUUUCAAACCUGAAGCAGAUAGUUGGUGCAUGUGUACAGUAACCUGAGGGGAGUGAGGUGACUAUUUCUGAGGAGAACAUGAGCGGUGAAGAUUCACCUUGGAGCUAGAACAGGGACGUGCACAUGAUUAUACAGGGGCAGGGGCUCAAGUUUUUUCCAGUCAUUUAUACAAUAUGGAAAUUAAUGUGAAAUUAAACCACAAAUAUGUGUGAUGAACUGUUUUUAAAACUUAAACUUCAAAUAAAAAUUGUAAACUUCAAAACAUAUGCAAAUUUUUAACAAAGAACAUAGUAAUUUACCUCUAUUGACAUCAAAAUGCAGGCAAUGGCCCAGGUGUUCUUUGUAAAAUUAUUUACAAAACACUGUAUAGUCUCACAAAUGUCACUUUUUAUUUAUGCCACUACAAAAAAACAUGAUGUAAAUGAUGCAUGAUGUAAAACAUGAUGUAAAAAACUUGUGUAGAUCCUCCUCUAUGUUAGUCCAUGUGUAAUUUUUCCAUAAUUCUUUGUUUUUUGCAGCAUUUUUGUUAGUGUAACUGCAGAUUGUGCUGACAGUGUCUAUGGCAAAAAAAAAAAAAAAAAAACUGAAAAUGCCUCAACAUGAACCCCUGGUGGUCUCUGAGGGUGAAACCUGCUAACUGCUGCAGCUCUGUCAGCUUCAGUCUCCCAUGCAGAGCUCGGAGCGCAUGUGUGGCUCUGCACCCUUAGCAGCGUUGCUAACUCCUCAGUAAGGAAAGCCUGCUUCAUGUCAGAGUCUCUAAACUCCAGAAGAAGUCGAUAAAAGUCACUUUCUUUCUAAAAAAAAGUCGUUAGGGGGUCUGAAAAGUCAUUGAAUCUAACAACAAAGUCGCUAGGUUUGCAACUACGUGUCCCAGACUGCAUCCCUGCUGAGAGUCCCUCCCUCCCUUCUCAUAUUGCAGGAAGAACGUAAGUUCCCGCCCCUUGUCAAUCAGUCACCAUAUAAUUUUGGAUUGGUUGUUGUGGUGAAGUUUUCCACCAAUAGGAGAGAUGUUGUGGUGUGUAUUUUUUUUCCUUUGGCAAGCCUUUUCCGCCUGUAAGACCUGUCGCUAAUGUCUGCAUGCUAUGUUUUCCUGUCUCAUACAGCGCGAUCGAGCGCCGAACGUGAUCAAAAUAAGCAGAAAACAAGGAUCGCGGACAUAAUUUAUCAUAACUCUGGUUUUAUUUGGCCUAUCAACACAAUUUAAAAACUGGUAUAUAGGUUGAGGUCCUCACUUUUGAGAUAAAUUGAAACGGAGAGUCAACGAGGCUCUGUCUUGCAGCUACAUCCGGUUAAAUAUGUCAUGUGACUUGAACGCGCACACACACACACACACACACACACAGACACACACACACACGCACACACACACACUCAGAGUCUGGUUUGUAGCACCUGCAAAAACAUGCUAUUUACAUAUUUGACAAGAAUGCAGAGGCUCCUUUUGCCCCUGAAAAAAAUCAAAUUUCAAACACAACUUGACUGGUCAUUUCUCCAAAAGACAACCAUGAAGCUCCAUCCAAACCUGAAGCAGGCAGUUGGUGCAUGUGUACAGUAACCUGAGGGGAGUGAGGUGACUGCUUCUGAGGAGAACAUGAGCAGUGAAGAUUUACCUUAGAGCUAGAACAGAGACGUGCACAUGAUUAUACAGGGGCAGGGGCUCAAGUUUUUUCCAGUCGUUUAUACAAUUUGGAAAUUAAUGUGAAAUUAAAAAACAAAGUAUUAAUAGAAAGGUAAUGACUGUCCUGUGUAGGUGACAGUGAUAUCCAAUAGGCUAGGCACUCACGAGGCUGGCUGUGGCAAGUGUAAGUGAAAGCAACACGCACUGGCAGGAAGAACAGCAAACGCCGAUGAAGGAAAAGGGUCUUUGCAGUGAUGGGCGUUACCAAAGAGGGCGAUGGCCAGAGGACACAAAUGGGACGGGGAGGCAGCGCGUUGGGGGGGGGACGCGACACAGCUCGGGCCCGCCAGUGCCCCAACGGGGUCCUAGUUAGGGCCCGAGCGUAGCUGCUAAGCAGCUGCGAGAGCCCUAUUAUUCCCCAAGGGGUUUUUCUUUGUUUCUUUCUUUCUUCUUUUUCCUCCCCUUUGAACUGGAAAAUGGCCCACUUCCCACUGGCGAAAACUCAUGAAAUUUGGCAGGAUGACCGGGCCUGGUGAAAAAUUUGAUAUUCCGAAGUCGCCCAAACAAGAAAAUGCAAAAUGGCUCCAUAGCGCCCCCUAAGGUGAAAAUUCACACUAUUGACUGUCACGCCUUUACGCUUUGUCAUAUUGACACAAAAAUUGACACACACAUGUAUCUCAAUAAGAUCUACAAAAAACUCAGUGCGGGCGUAUCUGUCAAAUGUACGGUUAAAGGGUUAUUGCGCAUUUUUUGCCGACCCACACACAUUGGAAUUUCGCUAACUCCUCCGAAGACUUUCGUUCCACCGGCACCACAUUUGCUCAGGCCAAUCUACACCCCAUGGCCAUUAAAAGUUAUUCAAAUCAUGACGCUGCACCCCACGGUUUAGGUUCUAGGGGGCGCCAAAGAUAACCCUAAAAUCCACAUAUUUAAAAGUCUUAUAACUUUUUAUUUUUGACCUCACUGGCCUCCAAGUUUUCUAGGAUGAUGCAAUGUCCAGCCAUCAACACAUUUGUGAAGGAAUUUUUAAUCCCCAAAAGAGCGCCCCCCCAUGGCAGGAGAAAAAAGUCAAUUUUUUCUUGUCCCCUAAGGUGAAAAUACACAUUGUUGAGUGUCACGCCUGUACGCUUUGUCAUAUUGACACAAAAUUUGACACACACAUGUAUCUCAAUAAGAUCUACGAAAAAGUCAAUGCGUGCGUAUCUGUCAAAUGUACGGUUAAAGGGUUAUUCCGCAUUUUUUGCUGAUCCGCACACAUUGGAAUUUUGCUAACUCCUCCUAAGGCUGGCGUUCCACCGGCACCACAUUUGCUCAGGCCAAUCUACACCCCAUGGCCAUUAAAAGUUAUUCAAAUCAUGACGCUGCACCCCACGGUUUAGGUUCUAGGGGGCGCCAAAGAUAACCCUAAAAUCCACAUAUUUCAAAGUCUUAUAACUUUUUAUUUUUGUCCUCACUGGCCUCCAAGUUUUCUAGGAUGAUGCAAUGUCCAGCCAUCAACACAUUUGUGAAGGAAUUUUUACUCCCCAAAAGAGCGCCCCCCCCAUGGCAGGAGAAAAAAGUCAAUUUUUUCUUGUCCCAUAAGGUGAAAAAACACAUUGUUGACUGUCAUACCUGUACGCUUUGUCAUAUUGACACAAAAUUUGACAAUCACAUGUAUCUCAAUAAGAUCUACGAAAAAGUCAAUGCGCGCGUAUCUGUAAAAUGUACGGUUAAAGGGCUAUUUUGCAUUUUUUGCCGAUUCGCACACAUUGGAAUGUGGCUAACUCCUCCUAAGGCUUUCGUCCCACUGACACCAAAUUUGCUCAGGCCAAUCUACACCCCAUGGCCAUUCAAAGUUGUAAAAAUCAUGACGCUGCACCCCACGGUUUACGUUCUAGGGGGCGCCAAAGAUGACCCAAAUAUCCACAUUCUUAAAAGAAUCCACAUCCCCCCCCCCCCCAUCCCCCAACCCCCAUGGCAGGAGAAACAGUCAAGUUUUUCCUGCCCAUCACUCAAUGGCUCAAUCGCAUCACUCUCCCGGCAACACCGUAACAAGGAGCAACUUGCCGUUUGGAUAUAUCCUAGCUGUGUUUGUGCCCUCACUCAUGGUCCAGACUUUUUUCAAAUAGGACAUGUAGUUUGUCUGCAGCGAGUGUUUUGGUAGAAACUGCGCCUCCCAUUCAUUAUAAUGGGAAAUGACCACAGACAAGUGCGCACACCAUCUUUGGACCUUGAGUGUGACGCGAUCGGGAGGGGGAGGCGGUCGCGCUGGGGGCGGCGCAACGCGGCUCGGGCCCGACAGUGCCCCACCGGGGCCCUAGUUUCUUCUUUUUCCUCCCCUUUGAACUGGAAAAUGGCCCACUUCCCACUGGCGAAAACUCAUGAAAUUUGGCAGGACGACCGGGCCUGGUGAAAAAUUCGAUAUUCUGAAGUCGGCCAAACAAUAAAAUGCAAAAUGGCUCCAUAGCGCCCCCUAAGGUGAAAAUUCACACUAUUGACUGUCACGCCUUUACGCUUUGUCAAAAUGACACAAAAAUUGACACACAUAUGUAUCUCAAUAAGAUCUACAAAAAAGUCAGUGCGGCCGUAUCUGUCAAAUGUACGGUUAAAGGGUUAUUUCGCAUUUUUUGCCGAUCCGCACACAUUGGAAUUUCGCUAACUCCUCCGAAGGCUUUCGUUCCACCGGCACCACAUUUGCUCAGGCCAAUCUACACCCCGUGGCCAUUAAAAGUUAUCAAAAUCAUGACGCUGCACCCCAAGGUUUAGGUUCUAGGGGGCGCCAAAGAUAACACUCAAAUCCACAUAUUUAAAAGUCUUAUAACUUUUUAUUUUUGUCCUCACUGGCCUCCAAGUUUUCUAGGAUGAUGCAAUGUCCAGCCAUCAACACAUUUGUGAAGGAAUUUUUACUCCCCAAAAGAGCGCCCCCCAUGGCAGGAGAAAAAAGUCCAUUUUUUCUUGUCCCCUAAGGUGAAAAUACACAUUGUUGAGUGUCACGCCUAUACGCUUUGUCAAAAUGACACAAAAAUUGACACACACAUGUAACUCAAUAAGAUCUACGAAAAAGUCAAUUCGCGCGUAUCUGUCAAAUGUACGGUUAAAGGGUUAUUCCGCAUUUUUUGCCGAUCCGCACACAUUGGAAUUUCGCUAACUCCUCCGAAGGCUUUCGUUCCACCGGCACCACAUUUGCUCAGGACAAUCUACACCCCAUGGCCAUUAAAAGUUAUUCAAAUCAUGACGCUGCACCCCACGGUUUAGGUUCUAGGGGGCGCCAAAGAUAACCCUAACAUCCACAUAUUUAAAAGUCUUAUAACUUUUUAUUUUUGUCCUCACUGGCCUCCAAGUUUUCUAGGAUGAUGCAAUGUCCAGCCAUCAACACAUUUGUGAAGGAAUUUUUACUCCCCAAAAGAGCGCCCCCCCA